rnacentral:lncRNA from 1 species
AUCCGUUCUUGCUUCUUUGAAUUCCAACCAGACACAACACAACCAAAUGAAAAAACACAAUCAGAAGCAAUCUUGACAUCGUCGCUAUCUACAUAAACUAGGAGGUCUCCACUUUCAUCUUGAAAAACACAAGUCAUAAACAGAGGCAUCAACAACAUUACAAUCAACAUCCUUUUCUAUAAUCUUUUUCUCCUUAUGCAUGGUAGCUUUACAACCCUCAAAAUUAGCAGCUUCAGUAUACCUUGCAGUCUCCAACAUAGCAAUAUUACAUCUAGCAUAAUUGCCAUCCAAAGUUCCCUUUUUUUGAGCAGAAAAAUUUGCUUCAACUUUACUAACACACAAGGAUGUUUGCUUCCACUCUACUGGAAAGCUUUUGCCUCACAUUUCAACAAUCAUCAAUUUAGAUCUAGAAGGAUAAAAAAUAGUGCAUUUCAUAUCCUUAAAAUGCAAAGAAUAUUUUUUCUCCAUCAUUUGCCCAACACUCAAAAGACUUUAAUUUAUCUCAGGCACAAAUAAAACAUCUAAAAUAUAUUUUAUACCUGAGAGAGUUUCAACACCACAAUUCCUUUGCCUUUGACCUCAACAUGUUGUUCAUUGUCAAUGACAACUUUGGAGUAAAAUGAUUCAUCAAGUUCUUUAAAAAAAAACUAACAUUGUUAGUCAUACGAUUGGUGCAUCCACUAUCUAUUAGCCAUGUUUCUUUGCUACUACAUGCUAAACAGCAAAAAGCCUUAAACAAUUGCUCCUCAUCUUCUUGGUGCUACUCAAGAACUCGGGCUUGUUGUUCCUACUGGUUUGUUUUGUUUUUGCAAACUUUCUCCAAAUGACAAAGUUGGUUACAAGCUCUACAUUAAACUUGUGGCAUGUACCAAUAAAACUUGUCUAAAUGAGUAUCUUUUUUGCAAUGUGGACAGGGUGGAAACUUCUUUUUCCCAAAAAUUUUAAAGCUUUGAUUUUUGCCUUUGUUGCCGGCCAAAAAGGCACCUUCAACAAUUUCUUUCAUCCUUAAAGAUCUUCUUUGUUCAGAAGCUUGCAAAGCAUUAACAAGCUCUGCAACUGUGAUUUCAGAAAAAUUCUUAUUUUCUUCAAGAGAUGAAAUUUUUGCUUCAAACAUCUCUGAAAGACACACCAGUAUUUUUUCCACAACUCUUUGAUCACUGAGAUCUUCUCCCAACAAUCUAAUUUGUGUAACAACUUUAGAAAUUCUGUCAGAAAACUCUCUAACAGAUUCUUUCAUUUUUAGUGCUUCAAACACUCUUCUCAAGUUCAGCACUUUCAUUUUCUUUGUUCUUUCACUUCCUUGAUACUCCUCCUUCAGCUUGUUCCAAGCUUCAUCAUGUAGAGCUGCAUGUAUUAUGGCAAGAGCGCUACCUUUUUUUUCCACUUCAUCACUGUGAUUUCUUGUUUGAGCUAAUGUUGGGUUGUUCGGGAGAGGUGGUGGGUCACUGCCCUUUUCAACCACAUCCCAUAAACUGAGCCCUGAAAUAAGUCUUCAUUUUUACAGCCCACAAAUCAUAGUUUUUACCUAAAAACACAAGAGGUGGAGGUAAAGAACCACUAUUAGAAGCCAUUGCUGGUGCUUAAGUUUUUUUUAAAAGGUUUUGUGAAGGUUUUCUUUGAUUGGGUGAUCCGUUCUUGCUUCUUUGAAUUCCAACCGGACACAACACAACCAAAUGAAAAAACACAAUCAGAUGCAGUCUAGACAUCGUCGCUUUCUGCAUAAUCUAGGAGGUCUUCAUUUUCAUUUUGAAAAACACAAGUCAUAAACAGAGGCAUCAACAACAUUACAAUCAACAUCCUUUUCUAUAAUCUUUUUCUCCUUCUUGCUUGUAAGGAACAUAAAAUCUACACUAAAUCUACUCUUAAGCACUAGUCAUCAUUACCUAAGAACAAUAGACAUCAUUACCUAGGGACUGUUUUACUUACUAAAUAAGCAACAAUCUAAUUAUGACACUUAUACAUAAACAAGCAACACUUAAAUUAUGGCAGAAAACGGCAGUAAAAAAUAAUUAACAAAACAGAAAAAUAUCAAUCUCCAACAUAGAUGUUGCUAUAAAAAUGGGAGGAAAAAAAUUAAAACCACAUCCCAAAGGACCAUAAUAACCAUCACAAAAGAAAAAUCAACUCUUGGGUGACACUUUAGCAACACUGCCCUGUGGAACAGCCUGUGCAGUUGCUCCAUCGCUAGCAUACGCUGGAGCCUGAGCAUAACUGCCACCAUAAGAACUAUUCCCAUAUGACGGUGGAGUCUGGCCAUAGCCAGGCUGGCCACCUUGAGGAGCACCAUAUGAUUGCGGACCAUACCCUGGUUGCACUGGUGCUCUCUGAGUGCCCAACUCUGGCUGAGCAUAUCCAGAAGGCGGGGCCUGGCUAGAGGGAUAUGCUGAAUGACCAUAGCCUCCUGCUGUGCUAGGUGACUGUGAUUGACCAUAAACAGGUGGAUUUGCACUUGGCUUCUGAGAGGGAGGAGCACCAUAACUAGGUCCAUAACCAGACUGUGGUUGACUUCCAUAGGCCGCUUGGGUGGUAGGGGCUACCGCAUAACCUGGUUGAGGAGUUUCUGGUUGGUUGGUAGCAUAACCUUGCUGAGCAACAGUAGUGGGUUGGGAAGUUUGGGAGGUAUCCGCUUGUGAUCCAUAGUUGGAAGUGUGCCCCUCUUGGGUUGGAUUACUCCCACUUCCAUAACUUGGAGCAGAGCCAUAACCUUGUUGCUGAUCAUAAGUUUGUGGCUGACCAUACCCAGAUUGUUGUUGUGCAUUAUACGCACCAUAGCUUUCCUGACCAUAACCCUGUCCUGGUUGGCUAUAACCAGAGGAAGGAGGUUGACUGUAACUGUAUCCAGACCCAUCAGCUGGCUGUGGAGGACCCCCAGGAUUUUGCUGUUGCUGGGGUUGUUGGUUGUAAUAAUCAUAACCACUUGCAUGAGUAGACUGCUGGUGAGAUGGUGCGGUGGAUUGGUCCCAGUUGGCGGAAUAUCCACCGGGUUGCUGAGGAGGAUAGCCUGCAUAUGGUGGCUGAGGCAUGUUAUACUGCGGUGAUGGACCAGAGUAUGAUCCAGGUUGCCCAUAGCCAUAACCAGCUUGUUGCACAGGAGCAGGAGGAGGAGCCCAGCUAGACGGUGGUCGGGAUUGGUAACCUUGCUGAGUAUAACCACCGGAGUUCCCUGAAUUUCUGAGACGAUUCUGCAGAGAGAAACAUCACAACCACAAAUUAAAAAGGCAGCUCGACCAACGUAUCAAAACAUAAAAAUAUACGAAGCAAUAGACGUACACAAAAAAUGGGUGUCAAAAUAUGCAUAACCUCAUUUCCAUUGAUGCCAAUAAAAAUUAGUCAUAAUUUCAAUAAGCUGAUUGUCAAGACAACAGAUAUUUUACUCACUACAAGAGCUCAAGUAUGGGAAACUAAAUCCAAAUAUACAGACCGUACUUCACUAAGCCCCAAGUACAUUGAAACAAUCCUUUCAACCUUCCCUCAACCCAAUCUAACAGGUCAGCCUAAACAAACUAUGAAAUAAAAGCUAAUAAAACUGAUUAGUGAGUGCCAUUAUAAUUGAAAGUGAAUUUAACAUAGGAAAUAGCUAUUCUUUAUAUGUAGAUGAGCACAAGUCCCAAGGAUAAAACUAUGCCAAAUGAAAGUUGAGCAUAUGACCCAACGAUAAGAAAUAUUUUAAGUAUAAGUUCUUACGAACAAUGACAGAAACACACAAAUGGCCUUGUUGAAGAGAAUUUUAAACAAAAUCCAACAGAGAGGAACAUAAAUAGAGACAAUGACUAAGAGUACUCAAAGUGUUGUCUAAUUUUAUGGCUGACAUACACAAUCAACAAGUCAAGAUUCAAAAGGGACAUAAAGUUGAUAAAUCAUAGCUACUGCGGUCUCCAGUCUGAGUUAUCAUGGUUUCAUUUGGCAAGCUUAUGCAACCAUACUGUAAAAAUAUGAGCACCUUAUUUUUACAAAAGGCGGAGAAUAAAAAAUGAAUAACAAUUUUGUAGGGACUAAACUCAAAAGGUCCAUAAUUAUAUAAGGUAAUUGUAUAAGAACUUCAAACAUAUUUAAUCCUAAAACUAAACAUGGUUAUAAACCCAUAAUUUUAAACUUAAAAGAGAUUUGGCACAUUCCAUCCAAAAAUGAUAAGCCAGAUAAAACAAAAAAUUGUGUUGAUAACAUACCUCACCAGUGAGGAUUUGAUUAACCAAUUGCUUUGCUGAUUCAAUCUGAUCAGGGGUCCCAUCGAUUUUUAAUGUUCUUUCUGUUGAUGUAUCACCUGGGGGAGGAUGCAAAGGUAUCACCUAAAAAAAUUGACAAUAUUAGUAAAAGUUAAAAUGAAUAGGAAAUCCAAGUCUUGAGAGUCGGGCAGUCAGCUGUUAACAGCAUCUAACUAGAAUCUAACUUUUAACAUAAUCAUGAUUAAGAAACUAUAUAUCGAACAAGAAACGAAGACAAAAGCGCAAGAGAGAACCUGAAUUCGUGCUCCGGUAGAAGCUUGCAUACUCUUUAUUGUUUCUCCUCCUUUACCGAUUAUAAGGCCAACCUAAAGAUGCACACAAGAAACCACAUCAACCCAAAUGAGAAUAAACAAAACACUGCCAAAAAACAUGCCCGCAACUGGAUAUAUUUCCUUCCCACACCUUAUUGUUUGGUAUUUGCAUCACAAAUUCAUCACCCCCAGAUUGUGCAACCAUCCGUCUAGUUCCACCGCCAGAAGCCCCAGCUUCAGCCUAGUUAAUAAACAACAUGUAUCAGUAAUGUUUCACAAACAGGUCAAAGUUACACCAAUUCCAACAUCAUUUGAGCAUAUUUAUUCAUGAAAUACUUCAUAUUAUAGUUACAGAAUCAGUAGAAAACAACUCUUAUCAGUGAUGUCUCACUAACAGUAUACAGUUACAGCAAUUCAACAUCACUUCGUUUGAGCAAAUUUAUCGUGAAAUACUUCAUACUACAGAUACAAAAUCAGUUGAAACAAGUGAUGUUUAUUGAACAUAUUAAAGUUUAUGCCACUCGAACAUCAUUUGAGCAAAUUCAUAAUGAAAUGAUUGUCAUCAAUGUUUUACUAACAGGUUAAAUUAAUGUCGUUCAAGCUUCAUUUGAGCAAAUUUAUCGUGAAAGACUUCAUACUGCAGGCACAGAAUAAGUUGAAAACAAUUCCUAUUGGUGAAGACAACUCCUAUCGUGAAAUAUUUCGUACCUAUCGUGAAAUCGUGAAAUACUUCGCUAAGAGGUAAAGUUACAGUCAUUUGAACAUCGUUUGAGCAAAUUCGCCAUGAAAUUGUGCAAUAUUAGAAGAAAACAACUCUCAUCACAGAUACUUCACUAACAAUUUACAGUUAACAGUUGCAAAAUCCGUUGAAAACAACAAUUUCACUAACAUCUUACCUUUACCGUCAUUUAAACAUCAUUUGAGCAAAAUUGAUCAUAAUUCAUAAAGCACAUCAUAUCACAUAUACAAAAUCAGUCAGAUACAACAAAAUCAGACUACAGUUGCACCAACUUCUACAUCAUUUGAGCAAAUUUAUCAUAAAACACUUCAUAUGACAGUUACAAAAUCAACUCCUAUUGAAACUCCAUACAACAGUUAUCAAAUCAGUUCAAACCAGCUCUAAUCAAUGAUAUUUCACUAAGGUAACAGUUACGGUGAUUUCAAAACAACAAUUGAGCAAAUUAAUCACGACAUACUUCAUAUAACAGUAAAAAAAACAGUUCAAAACAACUCAUAUCAAUGAUUUUCCCUAAAACGUAACAAUUACAGUAAUUCAAAAAAUAUGAAUUAAUCAAAUUGUUAUCAGUAAACACGAGUUUAAAACAAACAAACCUCGGCAAGGACUUCAUUGAUGAGUUUCUCAGCAGAAGAAACAGCAUCAGGAGUACCCAUAAGUUCAACCAUCCUAGUCUGAGAAUUAGGAUCAGCAUCCAUAUCACGAGUAACUUGAAUCUUAGCACCAGAUUGCAUCUGAAGAUACUUAAUAGUUUCACCUCCUUUACCAAUAAGAACACCAACCCUACCAUUAGGUAUUUCAAUCUUCUUACUAGAACCAUAACUACCACCUUGUUGUGAAUAUUGCGGCUUCAAAUCGUAAGAAUCAAACCCCGAGUGUGGAGCACCGUUAUCGGACUUGGUUCGUUUGGGAUCGUAGGAGAGUGGUGGAGCGCCGGUGACGCUGAGAAGACGAGCGGCGACUUCUUGAGCUCGUUGUUUGGCGUUUGCGACUUCGAGUUCGAUGUCAGUGGCGGUGGGUUGGUCAUCGUAUUUACGUUUUAGGGUUGCGUACUGUGCUUCUUCCGCCAUUGAAACAAACCCUAGAGGGAAGAAGAAAGUGAAAACACGAUGUGUGAAGGAAUUGGAUUAGGUUUUGAAAACACGAUGUGCUACUGGUCAUUUCAGAUACUAGAGAAGAGGUAAAAUUUUACUCGGACUUAAAUCUAAUUUUUAAUCACACAAAAAAAAAACCAAUUAAAAAAUGUAAAAUAAGAAUUUAACUAUCAUAUUUUUUUUUUUGGAAGGAAAUUUAACUAUCAUAUUUUAAAAAUUCAAUUAAAAAAAAGUAAUAUAAGAAUUUUUUUGACAAAAGUAAUAUAAGAAUUUAAUUAACAUAUUCUAAAAGUUUGGACUUAUAUAUAAAAAUCGUUGAUGGUCGUUAUUGAAUUUUAAGAUUUAUGAGUGGGUUCUUUUUGCCUAAAAAAAUAUUGUAAAAAUUAAAAAAAAUAUAUAUGAAUGGUAUUUUGAUUAAAAUUAUAGUACGAAUCGUUAGGUAUAUAUUUGUAAUUUAGUAAUUUGAAAAAUAAAUAAAUUGAAGAUUUCAUCAUAUUUCAUCCAAAUUAGAGGGUAAGCAAAACCAAAGUAAGUGGUGGAACAUGAUGGAAUGCAUGUUAUUGAGUUUUAUUCCAUCCCAUCCUUUUAAUGAUUAUUCAAACAAUGAAAUCUUAAUUUAUUCCAUUUCAUCCUACUUCAUUCCAUCACAUUCCAUCAAUUCAGACAUAGCCUUAGUGUUACGGUAGAUAUGUAGUUUGAUUUGGUUCGGAUGACAAAAUAAAAACCACAACCAAACACGAUUUAUUGCGGUUUUCGUUUUAAUUGGUUCCGUUUACGUUUCUAUUGAGUCACUAGGUUUUGAACACUCAUAAAUACUUGUUUGCGUGCGUAUAUGUAUAUGUGCAUAUAGUCACUAGAGGUGUUCAAAACCGAACCAACCCAAUAGAAAAACCGCAAACCAAACCAAUCCAACCCGAAAUCGCAAAAAACCGCACUUGGUUCAGAUGAAUUCGGAUGACUUUUGCAAUGAACCGCGCGGUUCGGUUUGGUUUGCGGUUUGCAUCUCAGCAGCCGAACCAAACCAAACCAAACCGCAAGAAUCAUGAAUAUUACUUAAACAUGUACUAGCCCAAUUACUGCACAAACUGAACCAAUCCAAACCGCAUUGGUUUGGUUUGGAUGAAUUUUUAAAAAUCAACCGAACCAACCAAACCGCAUGCUUUUUUAUCUCGUAGUUUGGGUUUUAUGCUCAAAACUGAACCAAACUACGUCGCGGACACCCCUAAUAGUCACUCUAAAAAGACAUUUAUAAAGGAACCGAAGGAGUGCUAUUAAAAAAUUAUUGUUAAUUGUUAUAUGGCUAAAAUAUGUUUUUGGUCCUUGCAAAUAUGGUGAGUUUGGAUUUUGGUCCCUGGUAAUUUUUUUUUUUUUAAAAAUUCAUCCCUGCAAAAAUUUUUGUUUUUUAAAAUAGUCCUUGACUCCACUUUAUUGAUGAUUUGACGCAUUUCUUCUACACACGUGGCUUUCGUUGACUGUGGAAGAACGUACACAUGGCACACAAGUGGCAAUUGCCUUAUUUAAAAUAUUUAAAAAUCAUUUUAAUUAAAAUUAAAUUUAGUUUUCAAAUUUAAAAAAAGAUUUAAUUAAAUUAAAAAAUUAAAGAAUCAGCAUUCUUUUCAUCUCUUCUUCUUCUCCAACCCUUUUCUUCUUAUUCUUCUUCUGCAAUAACACAACAUCUGUUUCACCAUCUUCACCAUUUUUCCAUCAUCAUUAAAACCAAUCAAAACCACAUUCAAUUGUAGAGAAAAUGGGAGAAAGAUAUCCAGAAUCUGAGGAGCAAAUCCAUAAACGAAAUCAAAUCUCAACGCAACAAAAAUCAAAUCUUAAACAAAAUCAAAUCUUCUCCAUCACAUCGCAGCAAAAUCAAAUCUUAAACAAAAUCUCAAAUUUGAGUAGCAAACCCAUAAACGAAAUCAGACGAACCCAGAAGCGAAAACGAGUGAGAAUCGUCUCCGGUAGUCAGAUCUGGUGGUUGGUGACUGAGCGGUGAUGAUGGCGGUUCAUGUUGUAGCGCGACGAGGACGGUGGCGGAGGAGUUUUAAUUUGCGGUGGCUUGAGAUGGGCUGAUGGCAAAUCUUGGUUGCUGUUAGUUUUUGUUUAUGAAUUGGAAACAAAUGAUGUUUUGUCAUAAUUGAGUUCAUGGUGAACUGUAGAUUGUGAUGUGAUGUUGUGUUUCUUACCUCCAUUGCUUCUCUCUUGUUGUUACUGUUCUAGAUCCAAAGAGAUGGUCUCUCUUGGUGUUCAGUUCUUAAUACAUGUUUUGGUCCUUAACUUAUUUUCGGAUUUUAUUUUGGUCCUCUAACUAUAAAGUGUCUCAAUUUGAUCUCUUAUGUUUUCUCCGUUACCUCUUUUGGUCUUCUCCCUUAGGUUGUUUUCAAAAAUAGUUAACCCUUGUCCACAUGUCAUUUAAGAUUGGAGAUUAAGGGUUAGAUUUAAAAAGUAUACAAUGAGCUCACAACAUACAAUCAUUUCUAUUUUUCUUGAUUUUCCUAAAAAUAUAAAUUUAAAAUCACCAUCAAUCUACAUCUUUUUAUAUAUUUUGAAAAUAAUUUGUAUCCAGAUUUUUAAAAAUUAAAAUAUUUUUCAGAAUUUUGUAGAAAAAAAUAAAAAAAAAUCUGACCUUUUUUUUUAAAAUUUCGUAAUAAAAUUAUUUUUUUUCAAAUUUUGAAAAAGAUUUUAUAAAAUUCAAGAAUAACUUUUUUUUUCAUAUUUUAUAAAAAUCUGAAUUUUUUUAUAUAUUUUUCAAAAUUAAAAUAUUUUCCAGAAUUUUGUAGAAAAAAUUAAAAAUAACCUUUUUUUUCGAAGAAAAAUAUGAUCUUUUUUUAUAACCUUUUUAAAUUCUGAAUUUUUUAAAUUAAAAUAUUUUCCAGAAUUUUGUAGAAAAAUUUGUAUCCAGAAUUUUAAAAAUUAAAAUAUUUCCCAGAAUUUUGUAGAAAAAAUUUAAAAAAACAUUUUUUUUCGGAAAUCUGACCUUUUUUUGAAAUUUCGUAAAAAAAUAAAUUUUUAAAUCUUGGAAAAGAUUUUAAAAAAAUUCUGGAAUAUUUUUUUGGAUAAUGUUUUAUGUACACACUUUUUUCCAUACACACAUUGUACCACUUCAUGUGAGAGUGUGUGAGAGACAAUACAUUUGAGUUUUUUUGUGUGUGGGGGGGACCACAAGGACACUUGUCAAAAUUGUAUGUGGGUGUACAAGUGGUACAUGUCACCUAAGGUGGUUUAUGUAUCACCACUCAUUUUUUUUCCUUCUAAUUUUAAAAUAUGAAUUUUUUAUAUAUUUUUCCAGAUUUUUAAAAAUUAAAAUAUUUUUCAGAAUUUUGUAGGAAAAAAUUAAAAAAACCUUUUUUUUCGAAAAAAAAAACUGACCUUUUUUAAAAAUUUCGUAAAAAAAUAAAUUUUUUUAAUUUUGAAAAUGAUUUUAAAAAAAUCUGGAAUAUUUAAAAUAUGAAUUUUUUAAUAUAUUUUUUGCUUCAAAAAAAUCAGGUGUUAAUCAUUCACCGUAGGCUACAAUAAACCUACAUGAUCCAACGGUUUCUAUUUGAAAAAUAGAUCAAAAAGUUAAAAUGUAACGGAGAGGACCAAAAGAGGUAACGGCAUAAGACAUAAGGGACCAAAUUGAGACACUUUAUAGUUAGGGGACCAAAAUGAAAUCCGAAAAUAAGUUAAGGGACCAAAGCAUGUAUUAAGCCAUAAAUUUAUGAAUUUUCCACCUUUUCUGCAGUUUCUUUAAUUUUUAAUCACUUAAUUAAACUUAAUUGAUUUUUUAUUUUAAUUUCAAAAGUAUAUUUUUUUAUUUUAAAAAAUGGUUUUUAAAUAAUUAAAUUGAAACAAUUGUCAUGUGGCUGCCAAUUGUGCAUAAUUACACAGUCAGUGAAUGUCACGUAGGCAGAAAUGCGCCAAAUCAUCAAUAAAAUGGGGUCAAGGACUAUUUUAAAAUACAAAAAAUUUUGCAGGGAUGAAUUUCAAAAAAGAAAUUUACCAGGGACCAAAAUCCAAACUCGUCAUAUUUGCAGGGAUCAAAAACAUAUUUUAGCUUGUUAUAUUUGUUGAAGGAAGUUAAUGCAAAUUAAAUUCGCUAAAUAAAAUCUAUGAUUUAUUAUGUCAAGAGAAAAGUCAAAUAAAUAUAAGUUAAUAACUUAAAAUAUAUUUGAUUUAAAGAUAUUGAUCAUAAACAAGUUAUUUAACUUUACUAACAAAAAAAAUUGCAUUGAUGAUAAUAUUUAAAAUGUCAUGUUAAUAUAAAUAAAUAAAAAAACAUUUUUUACACUUUUGUAAUGCAUAAAAAGAGAGAAAACCAAUCAAACAUAUCUUAAAAGAGAGAUGAUCCAGAAGCAAAGAGGAUACGGAUUUUGUAAUGCAUAAAAAAAUGAAAACCAAUCAAGACUGCACAAAUAAUACAUGGCAUUUUUUUUUUUUUGACGAAAUACAUAAUGACAUGUUGAUCAUACAGAUUUCAGAUAUGAUUUUGUUCGGACUAAGAAAAUAACACCUAUGCUGCAUGUUGAAUCAAAAGCUCCUGCUAUCAUAAGCUACUGCUAUCAUGUGAUAUCAUACAGAGCUCUACUGAGAUCUCCUGAAAUAUGUAACUUAUACAUAUAAAAUCCUUCUUACAUUUUCAAAAAACUUAGGUUUAUUUAAGUAUUCUGUGUUCAUUUUAGUAAUGUCUUUUAACAUAUAUUCCACGGUUGCACCAAAAUUCUGCAAAUGGCAUGUAACUUCGCAGCUCAUUUCAGGAAAAUUCUUUCCUUUUGAAAUGAAAGAUACGGGGAUCAAACCAUACAACUUUUAAAAGGAAAAUGCUAGUCUAACGCUGGAUUCAGUACAAUUUGUUAGCUCCUAUUCAACCUUCCGGAAAAUAUUCAAGUACCAAAAUAAGUUUGUUUUCAUCUAGACACUGCAAUGCCAUAUAGAUGUUGCUAUCAAAAUGGGAGGAAAAAAAAUUAAAACCACAUCCCAAAGGACCAUAAUAAAAUCACAAAAGACAAAUCAACUCUUGGGUGAGACUUUAGCAACACCGCCCUGUGGAACAGCCUGUGCAGUUGCUCCAUCGCUAGCAUAUGCUGGAGCCUGAGCAUAACCAGCACCAUAAGAACUAUUUCCAUAUGACGCUGGAGUCUGGCCAUAGCUAGGCUGGCCACCUUGAGGAGCACCAUAUGAUUGCGGACCAUACCCUGGUUGCACUGGUGCUCUCUGAGUUCCUAACUCUGGUUGAGCAUAUCCAGAAGGUGGGGCCUGGCUAGAGGGAUAUGCUGACUGACCAUAGCCUGCUGCUGUGCUAGGUGACUGUGACUGACCAUAAACAGGUGGAUUUGCACUUGGCUUUUGAGAGGGAGGAGCACCAUAACCAGUUCCAUAACCAGACUGUGGUUGACUUCCAUAGGUCGCUUGGGACGUAGGGGCUACCGCAUAACCUGGUUGAGGAGUUCCUUGUUGGUUGGUAGCAUAGCCUUGCUGGGCAACAGUAGUGGGUUGGGAAGUUUGGGAGGUAUCUGCUUGUGAUCCAUAGUUUGAAGUGUGCCCUUCUUGGGUUGGAUUACUCCCACUGCCAUAACUGGGAGCAGAGCCAUAACCUUGUUGCUGAUCAUAUGUUUGUGGCUGACCAUACCCAGAUUGUUGCUGCGCAUUAUAUGCACCAUAGCUUUCCUGACCAUAACCCUGUCCUGGUUGGCUAUAACCAGAUGAAGGGGGUUGACUGUAACUGUAUGCAGACCCAUCGGCUGGCUGUGAAGGACCCCCAGGAUUUUGCUGUUGCUGGGGUUGUUGAUUGUAAUAAUCAUAACCACUUGCAUGAGUAGACUGCUGGUGAGAUGGUGCAGUGGAUUGGUCCCAGUUGGCGGAAUAUCCACCGGGUUGCUGAGGAGGAUAGCCUGUGUAUGGUGGCUGAGGCGUGUUAUACUGGGGUGAUGGACCAGAGUAUGAUCCAGGUUGCCCAUAGCCAUAACCAGCUUGUUGCACAGGAGCAGCAGGAGGAGCCCAGCUAGACGGUGGUCGGGAUUGGUAACCUUGCUGAGUAUAACCACCCGAGUUCCCUGAAUUUCUGAG